rnacentral:rRNA from 2 species
UUAAGCAUAUCAAUAAGCGGAGGAAAAGAAAAUAACAAUGAUUCCCCUAGUAACUGCGAGUGAAGAGGGACAAGCUCAAAUUUUAAAUCUAUCGGGUUUUACCCGAUCGAGUUGUAAUUUGAAGAAGCGUUUUCUGCGUUUUUGGUCAGCCCAAGUCCUAUUGAAUGAGGCAUCAUGGAGGGUGAUAAUCCCGUCCGGUUGAUCAUUUGCGUUUUACGAUACGCUUUCUAAGAGUCAAGUUGUUUGGGAUUGCAGCUUAAAAUGGGAGGUAAAUUUCUCCUAAGGCUAAAUAACGGCGAGAGACCGAUAGCGAACAAGUACCGUGAGGGAAAGAUGAAAAGAACUUUGAAAAGAGAGUUAAACAGUACGUGAAAUUGUUGAAAGGGAAACGAUUGAAGCCAGUCGUACCUUCGGGUAAUCAGCUUUUCGGGUGCGAUUCUGUGGAGUGUGAUGAGCUUAACACCUUCAUGCUUUGCAUAUUUGUGCUCUUGGGUGUACUUGCCCGUGUGGUUGGUUAACAUCAAUUUUGGUUAUCAUAAAAUGAUUGGAGGAAUGUAGCUUCGAUCUCGUAUUGAAGUGUUAUAGCCUUCGGUAGAUGUGAUGAACGAGAUUGAGGAUUGCAACGGAUACCCUUCGGGGCUACCUGUCUGGUCUCUGAUCGUUGUUCUGGUGCCGAAAGCUUGCUUACGGUCAUCAAAGUCGAUGGUCAAUAGGUUAGAACGGGUUAAAUUCGUUAAGGAUGUUGACGUAAUGGCUUUAAACGACCCGUCUUGAAACACGGACCAAGGAGUCUAACAUAUAUGCGAGUGUUAGGGUGAUUAAACCCUUACGCGUAAUGAAAGUAAUUUUGGUGGGAACAUUUUUGUGCACCAUCGACCGAUCAGGAUAUUUUUUGAUAGAUUUGAGUAAGAGCAUAUCUGCUAGGACCCGAAAGAUGGUGAACUAUGCCUGAAUAGGGUGAAGUCAGAGGAAACUCUGAUGGAGGCUCGUAGCGGUUCUGACGUGCAAAUCGAUCGUCAAAUUUGGGUAUAGGGGCGAAAGACUAAUCGAACCAUCUAGUAGCUGGUUCCUGCCGAAGUUUCCCUCAGGAUAGCAGAAACUCGUUAACAGUUUCAUGAGGUAAAGCGAAUGAUUAGAGGCCUUAGGGUUGAAACAGCCUUAACCUAUUCUCAAACUUUAAAUAUGUAAGAAGUUUAUCGUUACUUAAUUGAACGUGAACAUUCGAAUGAUAGUUUCUAAUGGGCCAUUUUUGGUAAGC